AAACAUGACUCCUGUCCACCUGGAGCUCACCUGUGGUCUUAAAAGGGGGUGUGGGACAUUAGCCCAAGCUCUGUGACCAGCCUCAUAUUCCUGUUUUGGAUCAACCACCCAGAUGCCAGUGCACUAGUGUAACAGGGGAGGGGUGUCCUAACAAGGGCCCCAUACUACCUCUCAAUCUGGACAAAGGGCACCAAACCUACUCCAAAAUGGAAAUAUUUUCUCUCCCACCCAUUUAGAAGACCUCUGAGCAUUUUACAGACUCCUAUCCUGAACUGUGAGUAUCAUACAGCUCUGAGGAUGGUGUGUUGUUUUGAACUCUUUGGUUUUUAAGACACUGAAGUAAACAUUUUCAUAGGCUGGCCCUGACCACUUUCUGCCAGACCUGGCA
rnacentral:lncRNA from 1 species